UACGGGGGGAGCAAGCGUUGUUCGGAUUUACUGGGCGUAAAGGGCGCGUAGGCGGCCAGCGCAAGUCAGUUGUGAAAUCUCCGGGCUUAACUCGGAACGGUCAACUGAUACUGCGCGGCUAGAGUGCAGAAGGGGCAACUGGAAUUCUCGGUGUAGCGGUGAAAUGCGUAGAUAUCGAGAGGAAUACCUGCGGCGAAGGCGGGUUGCUGGGCUGACACUGACGCUGAUGCGCGAAAGCCAGGGGAGCGAACGGG
rnacentral:rRNA from 1 species